UGGUGGAUCAGUGGCGAACGGGUGAGUAACACGUGAGCAACCUGCCCUGGACUCUGGGAUAAGCGCUGGAAACGGCGUCUAAUACUGGAUAUGAGACGUGAUCGCAUGGUCGUGUUUGGAAAGAUUUUUCGGUCUGGGAUGGGCUCGCGGCCUAUCAGCUUGUUGGUGAGGUAAUGGCUCACCAAGGCGUCGACGGGUAGCCGGCCUGAGAGGGUGACCGGCCACACUGGGACUGAGACACGGCCCAGACUCCUACGGGAGGCAGCAGUGGGGAAUAUUGCACAAUGGGCGGAAGCCUGAUGCAGCAACGCCGCGUGAGGGAUGACGGCCUUCGGGUUGUAAACCUCUUUUAGCAGGGAAGAAGCGAAAGUGACGGUACCUGCAGAAAAAGCGCCGGCUAACUACGUGCCAGCAGCCGCGGUAAUACGUAGGGCGCAAGCGUUAUCCGGAAUUAUUGGGCGUAAAGAGCUCGUAGGCGGUUUGUCGCGUCUGCUGUGAAAUCCCGAGGCUCAACCUCGGGCCUGCAGUGGGUACGGGCAGACUAGAGUGCGGUAGGGGAGAUUGGAAUUCCUGGUGUAGCGGUGGAAUGCGCAGAUAUCAGGAGGAACACCGAUGGCGAAGGCAGAUCUCUGGGCCGUAACUGACGCUGAGGAGCGAAAGGGUGGGGAGCAAACAGGCUUAGAUACCCUGGUAGUCCACCCCGUAAACGUUGGGAACUAGUUGUGGGGACCAUUCCACGGUUUCCGUGACGCAGCUAACGCAUUAAGUUCCCCGCCUGGGGAGUACGGCCGCAAGGCUAAAACUCAAAGGAAUUGACGGGGACCCGCACAAGCGGCGGAGCAUGCGGAUUAAUUCGAUGCAACGCGAAGAACCUUACCAAGGCUUGACAUAUACGAGAACGGGCCAGAAAUGGUCAACUCUUUGGACACUCGUAAACAGGUGGUGCAUGGUUGUCGUCAGCUCGUGUCGUGAGAUGUUGGGUUAAGUCCCGCAACGAGCGCAACCCUCGUUCUAUGUUGCCAGCACGUAAUGGUGGGAACUCAUGGGAUACUGCCGGGGUCAACUCGGAGGAAGGUGGGGAUGACGUCAAAUCAUCAUGCCCCUUAUGUCUUGGGCUUCACGCAUGCUACAAUGGCCGGUACAAAGGGCUGCAAUACCGUAAGGUGGAGCGAAUCCCAAAAAGCCGGUCCCAGUUCGGAUUGAGGUCUGCAACUCGACCUCAUGAAGUCGGAGUCGCUAGUAAUCGCAGAUCAGCAACGCUGCGGUGAAUACGUUCCCGGGUCUUGUACACACCGCC
rnacentral:rRNA from 1 species